CCUACGGGUGGCAGCAGUGAGGAAUAUUGGUCAAUGGACGAGAGUCUGAACCAGCCAAGUAGCGUGAAGGAUGACUGCCCUAUGGGUUGUAAACUUCUUUUAUAUGGGACUAAAAUGUUCCACGUGUGGGAUUUUGUAUGUACCAUAUGAAUAAGGAUCGGCUAACUCCGUGCCAGCAGCCGCGGUAAUACGGAGGAUCCGAGCGUUAUCCGGAUUUAUUGGGUUUAAAGGGAGCGUAGGUGGAUUGUUAAGUCAGUUGUGAAAGUUUGCGGCUCAACCGUAAAAUUGCAGUUGAAACUGGCAGUCUUGAGUACAGUAGAGGUGGGCGGAAUUCGUGGUGUAGCGGUGAAAUGCUGAGAUAUCACGAAGAACUCCGAUUGCGAAGGCAGUUCACUGGACUGCAACUGACACUGAGGCUCGAAAGUGUGGGUAUCAAACAGGAUUAGAGACCCGUGUAGUC
rnacentral:rRNA from 1 species